AUCCAUGUCCCUACAAAGGGCAUGAACUCAUCCUUUUUUAUGGCUGCAUAGUAUUGCAUGGUGAUUGCACAUUCAUUUUAAGAUCACAUGGCACAUUUACAAACUAAAAAGAAAAUUUAAAAAUAAAACCACGUUGAAAAUGUAUCACUGACAUCUUUUUACAUCAGUUACAGAGUUUAUGGUGCAUUUUUCUUUUAUUUAUUUUUUGUUUUUCCUUUUACUGUGACCCCUUUUUGGUGAAUAUGGUGCAUUUUUAAAUAUAAAGGUCCACUAAGUAGUCAGGAGUGUCAUAAAGUAGGUGUUAAAGUGGCUCAGUCUUUUGCUGUUUAAAAACACGUUUUUUAUUUGCAUGGCACGUUGUGAUGGUGUCUCAUGUCAAUGCAUUUUGUCACCUGCUGUGAUUUUCUUCUUCAUUUACGCCAUCUUGGCUUAUCAUAAACUAGUAGAAUGAGUACUUUACCUGCAGAAUUCUCUCCUGAUUCCCUCUAGGAACCUCAGUCCUAACCAGACCUCAGAUAGGGUUAAAGGGUGGGGGCAGUCAGGGACUUGGGUUAAGGAUAUUCCCCUCCCCAGUUCCAGAACUGUAGAGAUAAGUAGAUGUAUCACUGACAUCUUUUUACAUCAGUUACAGAGUUUAUGGUGCAUUUUUCUUUUA
rnacentral:lncRNA from 1 species